AAAGCGUCAUCUCUCUCCAAAAGAGCAGUGUCUCUCCCAUCAAGAGCUGUCAACAUCAAGGCCAUAACCUGAUCUCUCUCAAAGGUCAUCAGAUGUAGACUCUGCUCCAGAUACUGUGUUGAAUGCUGAAUCACAGUAGCACUCGUAGUGGGAGAAUCCAUCACAACUACUUGUAACCUAGUAGUCACAUCCUCCUCGAUGGGAAUAUAAGUCUCCUCCAUAGGCUCCCCAUCGUCAGAAUCCAUCCCUUGCACUAUGGAUACGGCCAUAUUCAAUGUCGUCUCUGUCUCCAUCCAUGCAGAAUACUCUGUAG
rnacentral:lncRNA from 1 species